GGGGAGGAAUAUUGUAUCAAAAAAAACUAUUGAAAGAAAAAGCAAUAGAAAACAGUUUUUAAAGGUGAUUCGAGUUAUUUUUCUUCCUUUUUUUUCGCUGCUGUUCUUUUUAUUUUUUUAUUUUUUAUUUUUUUUUGGUUGACUGAUUGUAAAAAAAAUAUAGAGAAAAAGGGGGCUUAGAACUCAUACCUGGAUCGCUGCGCCGCCGAAUCCCUCAUCCAUUCAAAUCAAAGUUGAAUGGGUGGAGGGCUUUCGAUUUUGAAGCGGCGUGAAGAGGGUAGUCUCAGGGGCUGAUUUUUGUUUGCUUAUAAACUGGCAUAGGGUUCUGAUUUUAGGGUUAUAA
rnacentral:lncRNA from 1 species